UAUUGAGUUUUAAUAGCAUUAAAAGAUAACGAUUUAUGUAUUUAUGCUAUAGUUGAUUUACCCUUAACUCUUUUGUAGCGUUUCUAAAUUGAUACACGCUAUAAUAUGUUAUGCAGAUAAAAAGUUAUGCGCUGGCUCAAUUUUUUCGCUCAAUUUUUUUUUAACAUGGUAUAUGAUAGCAUAUAUACACAACUAAAACGUUAUGGAAAAAUUAGCGGGAGAAAAGAAGUCAGUGACCGCCUAAACUAAAAUUGGGCUCUAGAAACUCUUAUCCACAAACCCUUAAUUUUUUAUUUUUCUUUCACUUUAUUCAUCAGGCUAAUGAAACCGUCUAUCUUCUUUGACUUCUCUUCAUCUCCGUUACUCUAUUCUCGCUCAAUCCACUUCUCCUCUUUGCUUCUUAGUCUCUUCGUUUCUUCAUCUUCUUCACCUCUUCCUCUUCUCCCUCUUUUCUCGUCUUCUCCAGCAAACUCAUUUUUCCAGAUCUAAUUUUUUUUUUUUUUUUUCAGAUCUCGUCGCCGCUUAUGAUGUACCGCCAAAGUAAUCGAAGAAGACGUAACGAGAGAUGUUAUGCUAGUUUUCCGAUAGUUACAAGGGAUCUCCGCCUUCCACCCUAGCUCCAUCAUUGCCUCUUAGAUCUGUCGCCGUUUCCACAUCUUAGCCGCCAGUGAGUCUCUUCCGAAUUCUUCUUAAUGUUUGAGAUAUUAAUUUAGGGUUCUCCAAUUUGUGCUUUUCAUCCAUAACUCUUACGAUUUUUUAACUCUUUGUGUUGGUUUUUUUUCUUCUAAUUUGAUUUAAUUGAGCCACGAGGAUGGAUGUAUUUGGUUCGAUUUUUGAAGGAAUUGAUGUUCUCAGAGAUGAAAGUGAGGGAUAAUUAGGAAGAAAUACGAUCCUUUUCGUCGGAGCAUUGGAUCUGUGUGGCCUCUCGAUGGUAGAAGGGAGGAGUCCUAACAGCGAUUGAUGAAGAGAUGAGCGAUAUUGUGAGGAUUAAGACAACAGAUCGUGAAGAUAGGUGAUGAAUCAAGUUGAGGUGAAAUCAGAUUCGAGGCAUUGAGAUUCUUAAGUACGUUGACACUGUUACUCCGAAAUACAAGCCAAAGUUUGAUGCUUUGGUCAAAGGGAGGCGUCGUGGAAUCUGUUCUUGUAUGCAACUUGAAAAGUUGAGUUAGGAGAGGAGGAUGGGAUAGAACUAAGAGAGUUGCAAUAUGUCGUGUGUCUUCAAGUGAUCGAGCAGAGAAGGUCCAUUUCAUCCCUUUAGGUUCCAACGCUAGCAAGGUCUGGGUAGAGGUUUUCAAGGUUGAUGGUGCACGAGUGUGGAGAGCAAAUUGAGAAUUUGAAACAUUUGCAUGGGUUUUAUAUAUGAAGUACUUUGAACUCCUUAUCUUGGUGUUUUAUAAUAUGUAGAGCUUAGGUUUGACUCUUCAUGACAAAUAAAUGAAGUAUUUUGAUUAAAUAUACUGUUUCUUAUA